UCGGGUGAUCUGACUUCGGGAGGUCAUAACCCCAUCAGAAUUUGGGAAUUUGGAAAAACUUAUAAAAUGAAAGUUGUAGAUAAUUGAAAUACCUUUCCAACCAUAUAUUAUGGGCUUAUAGGUGACAUCUGGAUAAAGAGUUAUGGACAUUUUAAGGCAGAAAGGUCAAGCUGGGUAAUGAAUUCGGCCCAACCCGAUUUCAAGUCGGGUCAGGCCCAUUUCCUUGACUUUUAAUUGAUAUUUUCAGUCUUCUUUCUUCAUUUCCAGACCUGAAAUAUCCAGAACAUUUUAGAGAGAGAGAGAGAGAGAACUCCUAGGCUAAGAAAAGCCAUUUUUGACCAAAAUCGGAGCCCCGAAUUGCGAAGCUCGUGAAGAGAAAAGAGUUGUACGUUGCCUUGCUUUCAGUUUGAGCCAAAAAUCAGCUAAGGAGGAGAGUGUUGACUUGGUUGCUGCCUACUUAAGGUAUAUAUGCUCUUGUACAAGCUAAGAGGAAUUAUUUGACGAAGUGGACUUUGGUUGGUCUAUGGCGUAGAUGAUUUGACCUCCUCGAGUUGUGGUAGAACUUGUUGGGUGGUAAAACGCCGAGGUAAUGUGCGAGAUGAAGUAUGAAGAUGGCCAUUUGGAGUAGACUUUUUGGGAGCCCUUGUAAAGAUCACAUCUGCAUAUGCAUCUAGUUUUUUGGUAAAUUUUUGGGGACUUGUACAUGAUACAUGUGUGGCACUUAUGUAUGAAAUUUU